UAACAACUCAUCUACAUUAUUUACACGGUUAGAAGUCUUAUUGAAUGUCAUCAUUGAAGAAAAUCGUAUAGCAUGAAAAGUGUGUCGACCAAAUAUCAAGAGGAAGGCAAAAUUGGUACCAAUAAAUUCCAAGAAGAAAGUAAGCAGCUUCCAGUAAUGUUUGAUUUCACAUUCAGCAAGAUCCGUAUUGAAGAACAACACAGCUAUGGAGGGUACGACUAUAUGUCACACGGAAACAUACGGACAAUACACAAAUUAAUAUGAGAAGGGCGCUACCUAUGCAAAUAUUUUGUUUUUCACCUCAAGGUAGACAAGCUGAGGGUAAAAAAAAUUCCUGACCACGCACUAUAGAUUCUCAAUUUUUGUUCCAUAUGAUAUAUAAAUAUUGAUUUAUGUACUA